rnacentral:lncRNA from 1 species
CAGGGUUCAACCAAAGAUGUACUGGCCUGCUUUCCCAUUGCUGGACAAAAUACCUGACACCUGCAAUUUAAAUGAGCCAGCACCACCUGUAAAACUUUCAACAGGACUGGGGAUUUAGCUAAGUGGUGCUGCACCUACCUCGCAAGUACAAGGUCCUGAGUUCAAUCCACGGUACCAAAAACAAAAAACAAACAAAAAAAUCCUCUCAACAGGAGUCCUUAUGACUCAAUGUCAUGAUAACUCUUGGGAG